rnacentral:rRNA from 1 species
CGGACCUCAGAUCAGGCAAGAUCACCCGCUGAGUUUAAGCAUAUCACUAAGCGGAGGAAAAGAAACUAACAAGGAUUUCCCUAGUAACGGCGAGCGAACCGGAAGUAG